rnacentral:lncRNA from 1 species
UAGUCAACUAAGUCAAGUGUGAUCGUACUAAGUGGUAUUUCUCUUUCUCUAUUUUUGCAACUAUAAUUGAAGAUGGUCUUGAAACCCUUAGUAAUUCUCCAAAUGAGUUCACGCUCAGAAUCCUUUAAAGGUGAUCUAAGCAAUCCAUAUCAAUAUAAACUAAUGUUCUCACUAGUGCUAAUUAAAAAAUAUUAAAGAAUGAAGGUAAAUUAUAUGGAACAAAUUAGAAA